AUACGAAGGGGGCUAGCGUUGUUCGGAAUCACUGGGCGUAAAGCGCGCGUAGGUGGAUCAAUUAGUUGAGGGUGGAAUCCCGGGGCUCAACCUCGGAACUGCCUUCAAUACUGUUGAUCUUGAGACCGAGAGAGGUGAGUGGAAUUCCUAGUGUAGAGGUGAAAUUCGUAGAUAUUAGGAAGAACACCAGUGGCGAAGGCGGCUCACUGGCUCGGUACUGACGCUGAGGUGCGAAAGCGUGGGGAGCAAACAGGAUUAGAUACCCUAGUAGUCCC
rnacentral:rRNA from 1 species